rnacentral:tRNA from 1 species
AAGAUAUUAGUAAAACCAUUACAUAACUUUGUCAAAGUUAAAUUAUAGAUACCAAUCUAUAUAUCUUA